rnacentral:rRNA from 1 species
AUUGAACGCUGGCGGCAUGCCUUACACAUGCAAGUCGAACGGCAGCACGGGUGCUUGCACCUGGUGGCGAGUGGCGAACGGGUGAGUAAUACAUCGGAACGUACCUUAUCGUGGGGGAUAACGCAGCGAAAGCUGUGCUAAUACCGCAUACGCCCUGAGGGGGAAAGCGGGGGAUCGGAAGACCUCGCGCGAUUAGAGCGGCCGAUGCCCGAUUAGCUUGUUGGUGGGGUAAAAGCCCACCAAGGCGACGAUCAGUAGCUGGUCUGAGAGGACGAUCAGCCACACUGGGACUGAGACACGGCCCAGACUCCUACGGGAGGCAGCAGUGGGGAAUUUUGGACAAUGGGGGCAACCCUGAUCCAGCAAUGCCGCGUGAGUGAAGAAGGCCUUCGGGUUGUAAAGCUCUUUUGUCAGGGAAGAAACACCGGCUCUAACACAGUCCGGAAAUGACGGUACCUGAAGAAUAAGCACCGGCUAACUACGUGCCAGCAGCCGCCGUAA